AGAGUAAACAAAACACCGCCCUAACCUCCCAAGGUUUAAAGCACCAUUCCAAUGAAAUCGCAUAUAAUUUUUACUCAUAAGAGUUUUGGAUCUACAGAAAGAACUGAAGGAUGCUCACAAGAAAUUCAAGCAAGUAAUCAAGAGGAAAGAGAAGGAGCUAUUGCGGUUGAAGCAGGCCAUGGAGUCUCUCACAUACUCAGCAAAGGUAGCUGUUGAAGAUAGUGACAAGGUCUUUGAUGAAAUGAUCCGCUCUGUUGAGAAGUGGCACUCUGAUGUGAAAAGACUGAUCAGAUCACAGGAGAUUGCUGCUGUGGGCCAGGCUGAGGAGCAGGUUGACCAGUUGCAAAAGGAGAUUGCAGAGUUGAGGAGGAGAGAUGAGCUGUCAAUCAAUCCUAGCCCUCCCUGGAUGCGGAGACUCAUGCAGCAUCAAUGUCAGCCAACAAGUGUCUUUUGAAGACGUGAAGAACUCUGUGGCUGAGCAGAAACAGCGAUUGGAGGACAUCUGCAAAGGGACCUUCGUAAAAAUCUCUAAAAAAGCUCUACCCCAAGUAAAAGAAAAGGUUGUGGAGAGUAAAGUACCAACAACAAGGGAGGAGUUUUUGAAAUAUGCCUGUCAGCUCACAUUGGACCUAAACACCGCACAUAAAAACCUCCUUCUCUCCAAAGACAACAAAGAGGCUGUAUGGAAGGAUGUGGCGCUGCCUUAUCCUGACCACCCAGAGAGAUUUGUAAACAAUGCUGUAGUACUGUGUAGAGGCUCUGUCAGGCCGCUGUUACUGGGAAGUUGAAUGGAGUGGAGGACAGGUUAUUAUGGGUGUUGCAUAUAAAGGGAUAAACAGAAAGAAGUGUCCUAGUCAUGAUCAUUUUGAUUGGAUUUUAAACUUUCAUGAACAGACCUGGAGUUUGGAUGUGUUUGGUCGCUGUGUUAAACAGACUAAACAACUACCUUUUUGUCCCUCUAAGAAAAUAGGGCUCUACUUGGAUCACAAGGCUGGAUCGCUAACGUUCUAUAACAUUACUGACACAAUGACCCUCCUCUAUAGAGUACAAACUACAUUCACUCAACCACUCUAUCCUGUUUCCUGGAUAAAAAUACAGUCCAGGAUGAAAUUGUGCCGCAUGAAAUAAAUGAAAAUGAUUAUUACAAAAAUAUGAUGCUUUUGUGAAAGCAAGGCUAGACAGAACGUGCAGUGUAGCAAACAAGGAAGUUUGAAAUCCUCUUUUUACAUUGAAAAGAAGUAUGGGGGUUUGUCUGUUGGGGAUUAUAAACGGCACCCACUUCUAACGGCAAUCAUUUACACCAAAUUAUACAAAUUAAAUGCUGUAUGAGUAAGAAAGAAGUAUACCAAU